CCCCUCUCAGGAUCACACCUGGAGGGUUUUCAGUAGUCUUCCAGUCUCGGCUACAAGAGGGAAAGUCAGGGAGAGGCUUGCCCAUUCCAUUACUAGCCUGGCCAGUGGCUAGUGAGUGGAAGGCAAUCUGCUACAAAC